UUCAAUGGGCGGGCCUUGGUAGGGGAGCCGCGAGGCUCGCCGGCUUGACGUAACACCGGUCUGUCACCCUGCCACGUGCCCGCUCACCCUC
rnacentral:antisense_RNA from 1 species